rnacentral:rRNA from 1 species
GACGAACGCUGGCGGCGUGCCUAAUACAUGCAAGUAGAACGCUGAAGGAGGAGCUUGCUUCUCUGGAUGAGUUGCGAACGGGUGAGUAACGCGUAGGUAACCUGCCUGGUAGCGGGGGAUAACUAUUGGAAACGAUAGCUAAUACCGCAUAAGAGUAGAUGUUGCAUGACAUUUGCUUAAAAGUUGCAAUUGCAUCACUACCAGAUGGACCUGCGUUGUAUUAGCUAGUUGGUGGGGUAACGGCUCACCAAGGCGAUGAUACAUAGCCGACCUGAGAGGGGGGUCGGCCACACUGGGACUGGGACACGGCCCAGACUCCUACGGGAGGCAGCAGUAGGGGAUCUUCGGCAAUGGGCGGAAGUCUGGCCGAGCAACGCCGCGUGAGUGAAGAAGGUUUUCGGAUCGUAAAGCUCUGUUGUAAGAGAAGAACGAGUGUGAGAGUGGAAAGUUCACACUGUGACGGUAUCUUACCAGAAAGGGACGGCUAACUACGUG